GAAAACAAUGGUGAUUCGAGAAAAGUUGUUCAGAUCUCUAUUGAAGAUAACUCGACCAAAGCGGCCAAUGACAAGAAAAAGACAAAGAAACUGAGGAAAGGAAAAGGAAAGAAGGUGAAGAACAAUCAGGAUUUGGAUGAUCCCUCUAAUACCGAUGGUUUUGAUUAAUUAAAUGACGAUGAAGCCGCAGAUGAUCAGAGCCA